GGCUCCUAUUGUGUGCCUCUGAACUUCCAAGUCAAUGCAAUUUUUAACCACUGGCUUGUGGUACUUUGAAAAUCACCAGGGGCUGUCAGAGUUGGGUCCUCUGAAAAAUUUACAGUGCUAAAUCAGAGCAUAUGCUGUGAGAGAGGAAAAAAAAUUGCUUAAGAUUGGAGCAAGUACAGUAUCUGGCUGCCCCCUAGUGUAAGUCUCUUAUCUGCCUAAAAUUCAACUUUAAAAGAAAAGGAUCUCUUAAAGGGAAACGACUUUUGGCUCACGUAUGCAUACGAGAAUGAAACUUCUGUACAUUUUAAUCUGAUUAAUUCCUAAGGAUUUAAAAUUAAUUGGCUUGGGCACUGCUAGACCGGACUAUAAGAUUUCUGCAGCAGGGUUUCUGCGAGCCCUGGACCGAAUAGGAACCGUGCCUCGCACGCUGUUGUCAGAGCAAAACACUUUUGCUGCUUUAAGUCAGACCUGCGCCUUUUGCAAUAAUACAGGAUAAAUAAUUGCAUUAAAGCCAGAGCCGCGCUGCCAACCACACCUUCGGCGGAAGGCAGAAAUAUGUGAACUGCCGAGAGAGGUGGGUACUUUUUGUAGUAUUGCCCACAGGGUGAUUUAACAGAAGUCUGCUGAUUUUUACCAUGGUCCAGCACUUAGCUUUGUGCAGUGCCUCUGUGGCCAGGCACUGAGCUGCCCUGUGCUCUGGUUGCUUCCCCAGAGACAGGGAAAGCAGCAAAGGAUGUGGGGUUUCUCCCAGGAUUUUGGAAGAUGCCUCAGACAGUGGUGAGGAGUGGGCCAAAACCCAGGUCCAACCUGGAUUCCUCCCUCUGGGUACUCCUCUCGCCAGUGCUGACUGCUGAUGGAUCACAGCAACAUGGAUAUUCCCCUCUCCUUGCUCCCCAGCAGCAGAUCGCCAGGAGGCCCUGAAAGAAUCCUGUGGGGAUGAACCUAAGAGUCUGGAGAAGUGCUACAUGGCCUGUGUCUGUCCUGGGUCCUCCUCAUCAGUGCCUUGAGCUGUGUGAAGCCCCAAGAACCAAGCCACCGCCAAGGGCAUGACUGGGUGCUUGCUCCUGUCACGAACCAUACCUGAAGUACAGCGCCAAGGUUCAUCCGUAGCUUCUGCAAGUAGGAGCACUUUCUGUAGGCUCACAUUAGUGUGCAGCCCACACUUUGUGUAGGCUCACUCUAGUUUACAGGUAUAGUGUUGGUGAUGAGCGAGACAAUAAUGUAAAGAUAACCCAUGCAAACCCUUUUCUAGAACUGACAUUGUUUCAUCACUUUCUCUAUUUUCUGGAUGAAGCAGCCAGCACAAGGAGGGCAUGCUGACACACAUCCCACUCGAUAGUUGAAAAGAACAAACUGACAAAUGUUUCUAAUUUGCUGAAGUUUAUCAACAUCCCAGUGAAUAACGGGUGAAUGAUAUUUUCCUUUGGCUAUCCAUAGAUGUACAUGGAAAUGCUGAUAAACUGACACUUAGUCCAGGGACUGUACAGAAAUAUAUCAGAUACAAUAUUCCUAGUGAAAACCUUUAUGGAAAGUGUUUCUGCCCCAAGCCCCUGCCGGGAGACACACAGUGAUGCUCCCUGAGACCUGGCAGCCCUUCGAAGUGAGCAUAUGGCCCGCCCAGCUCUUGCAAUACCACUGCAUGGUGAGUAAACAUGCUGCAAUAUCAGAGCAAGCAGUGGGCUGGUUAAUAGCAAGGAGUUCUCUGGCUCCUUCCAACUUUACCGACACUUUGGGAAUGGAUUCCCUGUCUCUGCUGCUGAGGUGAGCACCGUUUGCAGAACAGGCAGGAGAAAAUGGAGAUGAUCUCUUUGGGGGCAGGUGGUGUUUGUGGCCCUCUCCCAUAUAGCUGCUGCUGCAGCAGAAGACUCCUGGUGUGUUAAGGAGAUGUGAUUUCUGAUGGACCAACAUUGCCUGCUUUAUUUUUAUUUUUUCUUUUUUUUUUUUUCUUUUUAAGAUUCGAUGUUACCUGCAAAGUAACGAGAGGAGGGACCUGAAGGUAAAACCCCUACCGUUGGUGCAGGUGUUGAAGGGCAGAUCAGUGGCUGCAGGAGCUGCAUCUCUGAGGCAGCUGACAAAGCCAGGCUGGUCGGUGCUAGCAAACAGAUCUGGUCCUGCCCCUCCGCUUCUUGCACUGGCAGAACACGGCACUGAAAUCACUGGAGCAGGGAUCGGGCCAGGAAUGAGCGGCUGAGUUGCAAAGCAAAUUAAUUCCUGCCAAAAAAGUUCAGCUAUGCUCAGAAGUAUGUAAAGUGUCUGAUUUGAGAAGUGUCAAGUAGCAUUUGUGACCAAUUAUCCAAGAUGAAGGGGGCAGAGCUAUGUUUACAUGUACUAAUCUUCAGCCAAAGUUUGAAAACUCCAAUUCAUGGACACGCAUCAAAUUUCCUUUCCAGGCUUGGCAUUUGCCUGUACGCACGCACGCACAUUGCUCGGGGAUGACAGGAAAACAUGAUUACGACUUGCAAAUAAUACAAAUAAAAAAAAAAAGUGAGGUGAGCUGCCAUGCAGCAGCAGCAUGGUAAUUAAGCCUAUACUAUGAUAAGUGGGGGGAAAAAAAAACACAGACUGCUGUAUGAGUAAAAUAGCUUUAUCAGCUGAGCUGAAAUAUUAUGGGUGAUGUCUCUGCAUUGUUAUUUUCCACAACCUGUGAAGCCCUGGGAAAUGAUCUACACAAAAGAAUAAGAAAUGAAAGCUGCCUCUGCCAUCUUCUGUUUAAUUAACACAGGUAUACCAAUUUAAUGCAAUUAAUCAAGAUAGUAGGGAUUAAACAGUAACUCACAGUGGGCAACGACAAUGUUAUCAAUGCUAUGGGCAUAGAAGGGCUAGAAAAUGAUUGUGGUGACUGGAAGCACUGUGGGCACGAACAAGCUGACUAGUUUUGGGUGGGUUUCAGGGGUUUGUGCAUAUCUAUUGAAACUUAGGAGCAGCUGAUUUUUCAUAUGGCUGAGUGUUUUUCUGCCCUGCCCUUCCCUUUCCCCUCUCGGACCUUGCAGGGUAACCCCCAGAGCAGCAACAACUUUUAAAGUGAUUCCUCUUUCUUCUAACAGGUUCCUGAUGCCAAAGGUCUGACCUUAAAAUGAGCAGCACACAGGGCAAGAACGGGCACUGCAGCGAGCUCCUGGCCUUCAACCCUUCCACACACAGCUAUUUUGUCAAUUUCCCACAAGCUUUUGUUGCCCAGUUCCUGCCAAUAGCCAGGGAACAAGCAAAAGUCAUCACAGAAAAUGAGCAACUAGUAGUGCCACCGCAAUCCCUGGCUGUGCAGUCCCGGGAUCUUCUGCUAUCCUACUCUCUGCUUUCAGGCUGUGGUUGAAAGAGCAGCUUUCACAGAGAAAUGUGAAUACUAUUUUGGGGUAAGUGGAUUUUUACUCAAUUUGGGUUUUAUGUAAUGUAUGAAGUCUGUACAAAGCCCAGCAUUAAUCCCAGCCUAGUUGUGAAAACACGUUUUGGACAACCUUGUCCAAUCCCAUAAAGCAUACCUGUGUACCGCAGUGGUACCUGCUCCAUUUAUAUAUUAUUAUUAUAAUAAUUAUUAUUUUUUUGCUAGGUCAGCCCUUUCAGAGUUCACAUUUAAUUUGUAAAGGAUUCUGUAUCACACAUCAGUUGUGCUAUCUCUCUACCUUCUGAUCAACUGAGAGAUUUUCUUAAGACUAUUUAUAUUUUAAUUUAUUAGAACAUUUCUCUACUUCCUUAUUUGAAUAACUAAGGAUUUUACAAACAUAAUAUGAUCUAAAAAUAACUCUCCAAGAUGGAAUGGAUACUCAUUAUCAUUUUCUCUUUAGUACUUGCAAGUCUUGGGUUAUCUUAUGCAACCUUUACAUGUUGGCUAGUGUUUUACUCUUUCGUAGCUUUGCUCAAAUACGGAAGGUAGUGAUAACAGAUAAUGUGUGUUAUAGGUUUCCUUACAGAUGAAAUCAAUGAAGUGUCCUGAAGUCUGGUAACUACUCAAUACCAGCAGCCUAUAUGGCCCUCUGUGCUAUUACUGCUGCUUUGAACCAAUUUAUUUAGCCAUUUUGACUUUACUCAGAUGCAUUCCUUCCUGCUGCCACAGCAGGGAUACAGAAGGUUUUAAACCAUGCAGUCAUUUCCAUCCCAGAUUUCAUGAGGGGUUAUUCUUGUCUGAGUGAUGAAUCAUUCAUACAUCCUUCUACGGAUUCCAGGUGAGUUACUCACAUUUAGGUGCUUCCAAGUAAUACACAGAAAGGUGCUGAGAAAAUGACAAGUCUCUGACCAGUCAGGAAGCUCAGCAAAAGUAAAUCUGAGCAAAAUGCUUGCACUAGGGCUCAAAAUCUUUCUAGAGACCUGGGGCCAAAGGGCUUCUGCCUUCAAAACAACAUGGCCAGCAGGGAGGUGGGGUGCUUGCAUUACUGACUGACCAUCAGCUGCCCUGUCCUCAGAAACAGUUCAGGAGAAGACUGAAAGUACCUGAAGGUAUGAGAAGGAUAAUUAAGUUUCAUUGUGGGAAUGAGUGUAAUCUGUCCAGACAAAUCUAGGAACUAAUAUUGAAAACUAGUAUCUGAAUAUGAAAAAUUAGUAAUUUUUUAAUAAGGAUGUCCAACAGGAUGGUAAAUUUAGGGAGUAAAAAAGCAGCUUUGCUUGAUAGACCAUCUCUCCAUCUUCCUCUAACCCAUUUUGUCAUUCUCUUUCUCCCUGUUAUGUUACUGCAAUAAAAACCCAAACCAAAACAAAACAAAAAAAACCCCUAAAAGUAUAAAAUCUAAUAUUGAGAAUGCUUUAGCUUCAUUUCAAUCUUCUCUUCUCAUAGUGCUUUUUUUCCCACUGUGAAGAUUCCCCCUAUGAGAUAACACAGGCCACGGUGACGUUAGCCUUGCAGGACCACAUUUGCUGGCAGCACAGCUGUAUUUUGGGGGGGUCUCCAAGGAGGCCAGUUUCCCACUCUUCUGGGGCUCUUAAGGAUGGUUUUGAACUGGCAUGAGAAAUCACCUGGCGCUCAGAGCAGAGCAAGGGUGUGUAGGACAGUAUUUUCUCUGUGCCUUCUUUGCUGAGCAGAAUAGCUGCUCUAUAAACAAAUGUGAGUUUUGCCUCAUUCUUACACAGUGUGAGUUAUGAAAGCCCACUCAAGACAUAAUGAAUGUAUAGAUCAUUUUGACCAGAUCAUAAUCUAUAAGUAAACAUUCCCUGAAAAUGUAUAGUUGAAAUAAAGAACUUCUUGCUACUAUUGCUGUAUCAGUAUCAGGGAUUACUGAUGAGGCCAACAUGAUCCUGAGACUUUGUGCUAACAAUGUUUAAAUACAGUGCAGAAGUAGCUACAGAGUUUGGUUAGCAAUUUACUUUUCAUGUUAGUAUAUUUAGGGUUUAUGCUGCUGGAAACAAAACCUGAAGCUAUGCAAGGUUUACCUGUCCCCAGACUUUACCACAAGCCCCAAACUUAAGUUCACCGGGAGGCCCAUUAACACUUAUAUAACUUUUCUAUUAGGUUCCCCUGAUUUUGGUAACAAUAUUAAUAAGCAAAUCACAUAGCGAUAUCUCAGAGCCCUAUUCCCUCUGCAAAUUAAGUACCUACAACACCUAUGACUUCUUCACUGUAUAGAAGAAGCCUGAGGACACCAGGCUAAGACCUAUGGCUGAUUGCCACCACAGCCUCUAGGCCAUGGGUAGGUUAAAUUUAAAGAAGGUGGCACUUAAGUGACAUCUGUGUGACAUGUGCUGUAAUGUCCAGAGAUUGGACUUUAUGUAUUCUGCUCUAAAGCUAGAGAGCAAGUCACUAGGAAAAAAAAAAAGGAAAGAAACACGAGGGAAUAAAAGUACUUUUGAAAGAGAAGAAAUCUACAUUUCAAUGAAAAUCCUUUCAAGGCAUUUCAAAUAAGAGUCUGAGAGAAAUAAUUACAAAGUUUGGAGAGAAAGAACGUUAGCUUUGAUAUCUUUUUCUUCUAUGAAGCAAUUAAAAUAAGCAAUUUUUCAAAUACUAAGCAGAAAAUUACUAAUGGCUGAACCCAAAAGCUUUCAUUUCCUUCUUGGGGCCUUUAUUCUUCUAAAAAAAGACAAAAAAAUGUGAAGGUGGUUUUCCAGAUAGAUUAAUGCAUAAAGCAGUCGCUAGUUGGAUGUCAUAAAAACUACAGCAGCAUAGAAUAGCUGAGAUUAAGAGCUAGAUUUAAAUCAUGCAACAGUCCAGUUAAUAUCAAUGUCUAAUUAAGAAAUGCAUAAGAAGUCUGUAAUGUUGAUUUGAUGGAGAAAAACUCUAAUAGGGUUUCUUUUGGAAUUUUCCAUUUCAAUUGCUGUGUAGACUUUUAAUGGAUGUCCUAUCCAGUCUUUGGUAUUAGCAGGAAUCAUCCUCAAAUUAAAACCAGGGCCAAAAAUGGAACACAGGUAGACAAAUUAGCUUGUCUGGGAAGCAGUCUGGGUAGCAUGACAAUGUGAGCUCAAGCUGAAAUUUUAGUACAAAUAAAAGAGAACAAAUGUCUCAAAUCUGGCAUGGAAACCCUAUCUGCUUAUCAUUUUAAACAAUUUAAAACCCUGUAAUUUCAAACAAUGCAGUGCUAACCCAUUUCCUCACCUCCCCAAAUCUCUGACAAUUCAUACGUAGAAAUCCACAGACCAUUAAGAAUUAUUAAUUAGCCUUUUUAAAUAGGAAGACUUUCUAUAGCCAUGUAUAUUAGCAGCAUGUAGAGGUGGGCUCUUCUUUGCUUUCAGUGGGGUUUAGAGCACACAGCUCCCUAUCACCAUCAACGAAUGCCAUUAAGCUCCCACUCUUUUCCGGGUAACUAAAGCUCUAAAACUCUGUGAGCAAAACGAAACCCGUGGCAUCUGCCACAGAUCAUUCAGGAUGUUUGGUCUCUAGGUAUGAAAGGGGAACUGGUUUUACACUGCAUGCCAUUGACACCCUGAAGUUGUUACGUUAUAAGCAGUGUAACUGUGAGCAUGUACAAAUCCACACAGCAAAGAGGGAGGAAGCAUAGCACUGGAUUAAAGCAGCAGUGUAUUUGUUAUCGCCACUUUGUUGUUGACCCAACAAAUCCAGAGGGAAUUAUCUCAAGAAUCCAGGAAGACAGCAAACUCAAAAUAACCCCUAUGACCUAGGGAGCGAGCACGCUGGGGAGUCAUUUUUAAGUUCAUUAGAGAACAUUAAAAUACAACACACUGGUCAUGGUAAAGGAAGGCAUAUUAUUCCAUCUGUCUAUAUAUUUCUUUCCAAUACUAAAUCCAUCCAGAGACCUUUCAGAAUUAUACCAUUAAGCCUUGACACUUCACUUAACAAAAAAAGUAGGAAAGACUAGAGGUAAAAUCACAGUAACAGUGGAAGUUCAGCACUUCCGAGUUGCCAUCAUUGCCUGAAAUGUCGGGGUCUAAAUCCUUACCUGGCUUUACUCCAUCGACCAACGAGGCACAAAUACUUACAUAGCAAUGCUGUGGCACUGAGACUGCCCCAAGGAAUUUUCUCUUUCAAAGAGAAGGGAGCUAGGACAUUCUAAGCGAGGUGUCCACCCUCUGAAUGAUAUGAAGGUCUAAUGUGGGGACAUUCGGGUCAAAGGAGUUUGAUUUUUUUUUUUUUUUACAGCCCCUCCUACUUGACUGUAUGACUCGGGAGCUAUCAUGGACAAAGAUGCUUUUAAAUCAAAGUGGAGCACUGCUUUUGUGGGGUGCUCUCCCUGCAAGCUUGGAUUUAUGCAAUACUUAGAAAAUAAGAGCACGAAGCAGGCUGCCUUUUGCAAAAGCAUGCAACAGAAAAAUAAACAAACCUUAACUUGCCCAACACACUUGAGAGCCACAAAGCUGCUUAGUUUUAUUAAAUGAGAGCACAAUUUCUUCUUUCCUCCAUAAAACUGUCCUUUCAGACAUUACUACAGUCAUGACCUCACUGCAGCCCUUGGAUUCUUUCUGAAAAGAUUAAAAUGAACUAAUAUACCAGUGAUCUCAUCAAAGCGUAAAGGACAUCUUAUGGAGGGGGGGAAAAGACAUCAGGAGAACCUCGGUGUUUCAUCUGCAUAAAGACAGUAGCAAAAGGCCUGUAACAUUGUGGAGAAGCACUAAAGAUACAACACCAGAGAGGCAUUUUUCCGUCUUAUGAAUUCUUAGGAUUUGUCCUACCUGAUCCUACCUACCACCCUUUUAGCUGCCUCCACAAUCCAUUCUCUUCCUUGUCCUCCUGCCUUUAUGAAAACCUUCCUUUGUCUCUUCUGUGCCCUUCAUCCAAGUUCUAGCAUACCUGACUGUUCUUUGAAUCAUAUGCACUACUAUUCUCAACUACUUCCAAAAUACAUUUUGCAGGAUAUAUACACACAAUGCCAUUACACAGAAAUAUUCACACACUUCAUCUUUAGCUUAAGUAAUCCUGACUAAGGAUGUGCUUCCUAUUUGUCUAUGCAGUUCAGAGGCCAAGGGCCUGGAUCAUGGCAGCCUCAUGUACUUUGGGGCACCUUCUAUCAGAAGCCAGGAGGGCAGGCAGGGAGAGAUGCUUUCUGUUUUCUUCAGCAGGAAAAGCUGUAUUGAUGUAAUUGUGAAUCCCACCACGUUUUAAAGGUUGUGACAGAUCAUUUGAUUGAAAACAAGACAAUCUUCAGAACAUGAGAACAGUGAUAGUAAUGCAACCUUAUCUGUUACACCCAUAGGUGCACCUUGCUCUGGCCUGAGAUCUCUCCAGUAAGCAACAAGGUGACGAACUGGUUUCCUGACUCAUGCUGAAGGUCACGUAGGAGCCCCAGGCCCACCUUGGUGUGCCCGCCCACAUCCCCUGACUUUUCAGGGAGGGACGUGCCGGUGCGGCCAUUCCUCUUCCCAGGCGGCCCUAUUACCCCAGGCAGGCAGGAAUAGCUGCCACCACUGCCACCGCCCGAUCGCUGUAUGCUUGGCAGGAGGAGACAAAGCUACUCAUUUCCAUCUGUGACACUUCUCAGCCAGGAAGAAAGCCGCUGGGCAUGAGCCCGUAGGCUGGGAGGCAUCAGAGCAGCCACCUGUUAGAUGCUGACAAAGAAACCUCCCAAACCCAUCAGGCAGAGAUGAAUUCCCAGGACCAAAGGAAUCUGAUACAAAGGGUGGCAAUGCCUUUCUACCCACCCAACAUGAUUUGUUCCUCCUAGAUGAGGCAGCAGACAAACACAUCCGGCCCCAUAUGCUCCUCAGUUUUUAGAUUUGCUUUGGUGAGGAGAGUCCCGAUCAGUAGGAUAGGAUAAUAUGUGCUGCAGCCCUAGUAGAAGUCCAAAUAGCCCAAGGAGCAGUGCAGAGCAUCUGCUACCACCAAGGAAGCAGCGGGCAUAAAGCUGUUGGUUUGUCUGGAGGCACAGACUUAUCAGCACCGAGGUGGGUGGGAGAGCUCUGGAUAUGCACCAAGAUCUCCUCUCCCCACAGAUUUACCAGCUCAGCUCAGCUCAGGCCAAAGGAACAGGGACAAGGUCCUGGGCUCUGCUCUGAGUUCACUGCUCUAUUGAUUACAAAGCGGUAUUUACAGCAGAUCAGGAUCCUGAACUGAGCCUGGCCUGCCAGCUGAAGCUGUACAAACUAAGUCAUAUAUUCCCCAACUACAGAUAAAAGCAAUGGCCAAUUUUAGCCUAACGAUCACUUCUGCCAAAGGAAAGAAACUCUUUGAGGUAAGUUCCCUGGGAUAUAAUUCUUUCUUUACAGGUUAAAGCAGGGGUGUAGCUAAUACAUAUCUGAGUCGUAACAUGGAUUUGCACCUUUCCCAUUAAAUACAACUGGUUCAUGUCCAACGAAUCACUUCUAUUCCUAAUGCUCACUUAUAUCUUUACAACUUCUGCAUUAGCUGCAGGUGUGAAAUGCCAACUGAUCCAGACUUCUCUUGUUGUCAGCAGGAGUAAUGCAUGUAAAAGGCCUGAUUUUCAGAAGUGAGGUGACCAGCAUCCCUACUUGCACAUCUGCUUCAAUAAAUAAAUCUGUGGAGAUUUGCAAGGCUCAAAUAUGCACAAAAUGGGAUGAGUUCACUGGGGUCCAUACCUAAAAAACUGUUCACACUCCUCAUUUAGUAGGCAGGUCACCAUUUGCUCUCUAUACAAAAUAUUUGCUCUUUUAUAAGAGUAAUCAGCAAUAUAUUGGUUAAAUGGAACGUAGACCUACUAUUCCAAUAGCAACUAAUAUGAAUUAAAAACAAGUGAUUUCAAAAAUCCAUGUAAUACUGUGAAAAGCCCUGAGCAGAACACAUGUCAGAGUACUUUUCAUGAACAUCUAAGAUCCCAGACCUGAGAUGAUGUUGCUCAAAACAUAUACUUCCUUAAAGAGGUUGUUAAAAACAUUUUCAUAAUAAUCAGAUGAGAUGCACUUUUCAUACUGGGGAAAGGAAGCACUUGGUUUGUAAUAACAAGUGUUUGGAAAAGGCUAUUAAGGUUCAAGGAACCGUGCUGUUGCAGACAGAAUAGCUUGUAUGUACCUUCAUGGAAGUGGCUAUUGAAUCAAGGUGUCUUUUUCCCCUGAAACUUACACCAGAAAUUCAGUGCAAAGACUUUUUGUGUUUAAUCGGGCUGACUUCAUUACCUUCCUGAGUAAUAGAAAUUCCACUUGUUUCCCUGAGUGGUGGAAUACAUAAACAUGAAAAGAAAAGGGGAAAAAUAAGAGAUGUGGAUUUUCUUUGGGUGAAGUAAUACAGGAGAAAAUAGGGCUUGACAAACAUUUGAGUAUAAUAUGCUUUGGGUUUUUAACAAAAAGUCCAAAGAAACAUGCUUGAACGAACAUUUUAUAAUGCAUACCUGUUAGUUUAUCUUCAUUUUUGUUGCCACAUAUAAUUGAAAAACUUACAGACAACUCAUAAGACUUUUAGUUUCUGUUGAGAAGUGCCUUUUCCAAGAUAAUUCUGUAGGCUAUUACUUUAGCCCACUGGGUAUCAUGUAGGCAAGGUGUAAGAUUAUGCACAUGAAUAUUUCUGUCUACCACUUCUGUGUGCUGAGACAAUAUCAAUUUAUACUUUCUUCUGUCAUUGGUCCUUAUUCCGUAGAGGAUAUUCUUAAUUACCAGCAAGACAAUUUGGUAAUAUCAUCUGAAGUGUUACAGCAUCAUUCCUGUGAUGAUUUACACCUACUUAGUCUGAUCAUUGAAUUUUAAACCAUAUAUUAAGCGCAGAAGGUGGAGGAUAUGUUUUUUUUUCUCUACAGGACACCAUUUCUAUUUUUAAUAGAAUUACUCUCCUUUAACUUAUUGGCAGGGUUCUUCUCAAGGAUAGAGUUUUUCAACACAAAGACACCAUUGCUGAACAUUUGAGCUGCCCUGAAAAAUUCAGAGCACGCUUCUAUUCCAGUUCUAAUCCACUCAGGUCUAAACACCUAAAUGCUAAUUUUGACGACCGUGCAUGAGGGACAUGCUUUUAUGGGGAUUCUAAAGAAUACAAAACCAAAAAUACCUCAGCUGCAGAAGAAGCUCACUGUAUUCCUUCCUCCACUUUCUGAUUAUGGUUUAAAAUUUAUUCAAUCCUUGCAGGUUUACUCCAAAGUCUUUGGGAAUGAUGGGAAUUAUUCUAUUGACACCAAACUCUGCUUUCUACUGGAUUAUGGAAGAUGUUUGGGCAUCAGGUUUGCUGGCAGUGGCACGCUAAUGAAAUGGGGAAUUUUAUAAACACAUCAGGGAGGGAUGGAGUCCUAUCAGACUUGCUAUGGAGCUUACAUACCAGCAAAGAAAGUGGGCAAGCUGUGCAAAGCCUCCUACGUUAUUUUUAGGUUAAUAGAAAUGCUUUGUGCAAGGUCACAAAGUUCUUUACUGUUCCUCUUCAGAAGCCAUCCCAAACAAAACCACCCUGAGAUACUGAAUUGAUGAUACAAACGGAUUAUGUUUAGGGUUUCCCAUGAAAACCUUCUAUAGGAUAAAGCCAAACAGGCAAAAAGGUUUGGAGGGAGCAACUCAGUUUUCAUGAGGCUUCCCAACUGAAAAAGAGUUAAAGAUGUUAAAGAUGCAUCAAAAUCAUGUAAUGUGCCCUAAUAGAUAUUUUUUAAAUUAAUAUUUGCUUUGAAAUAUGCUUUCAUUUAAUUUUUUAAUUCAUAAAUGAAUGCAAAAAAUGAAAUAUUUUGAAAUUACUGAAGGAAAUGAUUCAGUGACUUUUUUUCCCUCAAACUUAUUGGUUUGCCAGAGAAUUAGUUGGAAAAAUGAAAUCUUGAAAACUCCCAAAGGAUAGAAAAAAGUACUUCUCUGCUAGCUACAAAAUGAGAGGAAAAUAUAAUGACAUUUUCAUUAGCACAAAGAUUUACUAAAAUACCCACAUUUUCAUGGAAGUUGCACAGACUUGAACUCAGACACACUUAGGGUUCCUUUCCAAGUGUGAUGCUUACGUACGGUAAGUGAUAACUUUUUUUUUUUUUUAUUACACUUGAUCAUCUACGCUCCUAGAUAAAUAUCUGGAGGUGUUCCAGCCCCCACAGGGCUUAGUCCCUUUUUCAUACAUUGUCACAAGAAGGACGGAAAGCAUGGGCAGGGAAUUUCACACAGUUAUAGUCCACAGACUAAUGUGUUUAAACAAAAAAUGAUAAUUAACUCUGAAAUAAUUUAAAAGUGGGCUAUCCAAGAUGAAGGAGCCCUGGAUGCCAAGAGGGGCUAGGCUUUGUAGGGGGCACACAACAGCUACACUGUGCAGUGUUAACGGUGUAGGGAAGGAACAUCCUUAAAUGUUGGCUCAGUUUAUCAGGAAUUUUUCUGAACUGUUACCUCCAGCUUUCUCCAGAACACCCUCAGUCCUUUUAUCUGUGAGCUAUCUCAAAGUUUACUGCCUGCCUAUUGCCUUGGCUGAACCACACUAAUAGCCGGCUAAUUACAUGUGAACACGCUAAUUUGCUUUAUGCCUUUCUCAAAAAAACAUGCACGUGCAGGCAAGCAUGUGAGCAAACUUUUGUUCAUGCAAUAAAACUGCAGCACUGCAUGGAAUGGGUGUACCAGCCCAAGCACUGGAAAAUGUUGCAUGCUUGCUGCCCCCCAUUUCUUGCCCCCACCAGGCCCCCACCAAUGCUCAUUGUUCCUAUUUGCAACACCACCUGUUGCUCCAGCACCAGGCUGCUCUAGACCAGAAAGUGGAGCAAAGAGAAAUACGUGUUUGUCAUUGAACGGAGAAGAAGGAAGACGAGAACGAUAAGAUCAUAGCCUGCAGCACUUUGUUUAUGAGAACAUCCUUCCAGUGAUAUAUGUCUGCACCAGGUGAAAGUAUUGUGUCACCCCUAACAUAUUUUAAAUGCCAGGGCUGUCAUGCAAGAAGACAAUGAUGAACAAGUUUAAACAGAAUAUGGUAUUGUAGCCAUGCACAGUGUUACCCUUUAAAGGUUUGCAUCAGUAGCAUUUCUUAACAAAACAUUUCCGGACUGUUAUAUUCCCCUAUAGAACCUCUUUUACAUAACAUUUAAACUCAGAAAUAUUAUUUCCAUUGGAGAGAAACUGAUGGAGUUAUACAUAAACCAGUGCAGUUUCCUCAUGCAAGUUUUUCAGGCUAUUUCAAAUGCCUUCCCAGCCAUAUUAAGAGCUUCCCCUAACUACUUGGAUAGGGACCUGGGGACCACACUUUACUUGGCACACAGGUAAAUAAAGGCACGCCUACACUGGGCACGGAAGAGCAGGGACUGGGCCUAGGUCACUGCAUGUCAGAGUCUUACUUGGAUGAGGUCUGGUGUGCUCCAAUUGACUGAAAGCCUGCUAGCUGCAUCACGUGGUUAACUCUGCACACGAGCACUCACUUUGCGUGCUCCAAGAUUGCCUCGUGCUGCACAGCACAGUAAGCGGGGUCAGAUGGAGAAUUUACUUAAAGGGCACUCCUGGGCCAAGGGGAAAUGCUACUGGAGAAGCACCUUUUGUCCCAAAGGAGGUAUGCACGGAGCUACCAUCACAGGGCAGUUUUCUUCCCAGAUAUUUAUCUUGAGCUCGACUGCACGAACACCAUCACUGUGCUCUAACACCAUUGCACAACAUGACUCCUCCAGACUGACAGCUCAAAUUGAGCCUUGGGGAAGCCAGCAUCCAACACACGGCAUUGAACGUGGGCAUGACCAUAUCCACCCCAGGGUCAGGUGAAAGAGCUGUAGCCAUGAAUGUCACAUGAAGGCAACCGUGACAACAGAGCUUUACACCUUGGAGGCACGCUAAGGUCAGAGCCACUCCGUGAACCAUCCAGGACAACAUUCAAAGUGCUUUACAAGAGAGGAAAGGGAAUUUGAGCACCUGAAAAAUGCCCAAAGAGCUAGGAUUUCUUAAGUGCUUACUGAGGUCCUGUGUGGGCUCACGUAACGUGCUCAGCAUCUCCCCAUCAGUAUUUGUUUCUGUAAAAUAGAAACACCUUAUUUUUCUCAGAAGGUUAUUAGGAAGACUUUCCAAUUAAAGUUUUCUAUAAAUGUAAGUGCCUUGUGAACAGUAUUUAAUCACCUGACUAAAAAUUUUCUCCAACUUCUUUAGGCAGAACAUCAGUUUUUAUAGGGACUUGUCAAGGUGCUCAGCUUAACAUAAGGCUGCAGGAUCACACGCUGCAUCUUUAAGACAUAGUUUACUCCUGAAUCAGUAAAUGUACUAGACAAAGCAGCCAUUAUUUAUGCAUUCCUGCAUAGAUGGCAAGGUGAAAAUAAUAGAAUAAACAUCAUAUACUUCAUUAUGAUAUCGGUUUACACUUCCAGGGUACACAAAAAGAGGCCAUUUCAUCAAGCUAAUUGCCUGAAAGUAAAAGAGAGAGAACUUUAGCUAUUAGUCUAUUAUGGGGCUUUUUUCUUAAUCACAAAUAGGGGCCGUGUGUCCCCAGGGGGAUGUGUAUUCUAAUUUACAAUUGAACUACAGAUCAGAGCAAUCAAUCUUGUGCAGCACUUUUACAGUGUAAUUGCUGCAACAUAACAAAUAAAAAAAAGCAGCCUAAGUCGAGUUUCAGCUUGAGGUGGAGAUAUUUACCAGGCAUUGGGUCGGGGUGGGAGGGAGGCAGAGAGAGAAGAGAGGCGCCAAAGCCAUGAAUAUGCAAUGAGGGCUCAUUAGUGCCCCAGUGUUGCCAUGACGAAUGGCAUUAUCCCCAGACUGGUGCAGCCUAAACAUGAAUUUUAUAACGACCCAUUUAUCAUGACUUGUCAUGGGUUUCUUUACUGUACUUCCUACUGGCUCUCACACCUUCCUCCAUUAUCACCUCAGAAUCCCUUCCUUUUAUUUUCCCUUACUCCAGUUUAGUUUUUGGUAGCAAUGCCUAUAGCGAGGAGAUGACUGCGAGGGGCAGCCCGCUGGUGUUCAGGAGAAGCUCGGAGCCUCCUGAGCUGGAGAGCCACAGCCAGACACGUAGGUGGUCUUCAGUCCACUUACUAGCGGAUAAGCGUCCUCAUUGUCACAAAGAUCUGCAAUCUUGUCAGUUGACUCAGCAGAAAGGUCUCGGAUUGACUGAGCAUCGAGACAACUAUCUUUCCUUUCUGGCAGAUGUGAUGGAUGAAUGUGUUUUGUUGACCUAGGCCUGUCUAAAAGUGCUCUUCCUCAGCCCACGCCAGCGAUGCACUCAGUAGAAAAAUUCACCCCUUGCCUCUACAUCAACAGAAGUACUAAAUCGGAUAAAUGGACAAAAAUUACAUUCUGCCCAGCUGCAGUUAAACUGAAAAAAUAUAUACUAGAUGCAAAACUUUAGUGAUAGGAAAAGCAUUUACCUUCCAGGUGCAAGAGGUAACAGUCAACACUAGAGGAAAACAAAAUUACUGCAGAGUAAUUAGUGUGUCUGGCUUUAGCUCAUUUUUGGUCACUGCACGUUGUCUCUGGUUUACUGCUGUCCCUUUGGCCUACCCGAUUCCACAUUUAAUAUACCACUGCUUAUAAAGAAAUCCCUGCGGCUCAGAAGGCUGAAUUGCCACUGCUGGGGUAGGGCCUGCUCUCCAGUAUAUAGAGGCUUUCAUUUCCCAAGUUAUGAAUCUGACAUCUCAUGGCCAAAUCCAUGCCAGUUUAUUUCUGAGAAGUCUGUCCUCAUUAUUUACCCCAAAUAGUUUCACUGUCAGUAUGCCUUUUUUUUCCACUGUGAAGUGGCCAGAGUAUCUGAAAGUAUCAAGCCUCUCUUUGUUGGAUUUUACACUUUUGCUAUUACAAGAAUUUGUCUUUGGGGAUAGAAAAAUCAAGCAACUUAUUUCCAGCUAUUACUUGGAUAGGACUUCAUGUUCUUAAACAAGUUGUGAGCUCCCACGAUCUCUGAAAACAACUCUCCCGAGGUCUUACAUCAGGAUAGUCCUACAGUUCUUUCAUUACUCUACUGGAUGUUUGAAAAUAUUAAAAGGCAUCUAACAUCCCAGUCCAGCAAUUUACAGACUCAGAGUCUGGUGCUGUAGCCCUCAAAGCCUCUAUUUCUUCCACAAAAUCCGCACUUUGCUAUUAUUGUCGCCAAGACAGGCACGUGUUUCACUAGAGGAGCAGUUUGUCAAAGCAACAGUCCAUUAUCCAAAGAUUCAUCACAGGUUCCUACUUCAGACACGAUGGAAGGGAGGCUGGAUGGUAGAACGUGACGGGGAAGGAGAGCUUCCUUGCAGCAAGGUGCGUGAGGCAGGUGGCACACCUUGACCCAAGCUGGGCGUAGCUGAUUAGGCCAGCAUAUGCUGAUGUGAAAAAGCCAGGCUUUUUUUUUUUUUCCCCACCCCAAACUGUGUUCUUUAUCUGUGUUCCUUUAAAAUACAUAGUUUUUAAAGCCUCAAACAGCACCUUGCACAAAUCCCUGACCUUUGGCGGAGAACCCCAGUUCUCACUGCAAUACAGACGAUGGAUGCUAUGUUAAUUAUCAGAAGACAAAAGGAAAAAAUAUCCCUCUUAAAGAAGCAAGCCAGAAAUGCCUGCUAACAUUGCAGAAAGCAUCCAUUGCAUUCACAGGGAUGCAGUACACAGCAAAUGUGACAACUGUUCCUCAAAAUAUACUUACUCUGUGGCCUAGGUGAUCUGGAUCAUCUGUUGUGUGAAGAGAAAGGAGAGUCUCAGAAACAAUAUGACAAUUAAAUUCUUUUAAACUCCUAUUAGGAGUUCUAAAACUUGCUGUAGUUGGUGCAAGGUCUGACAGAUACGCCUGACUGCAGAGCCUCUAUCUGCAGUUUAUGAGAAGGAAUAAGCAGACGCCUGUUUGAGUUGAUUUUAGUAUUUUAGUCCCAUGCAGAGAGUUUUCUUUAUUAUUUUAUAUCAAUACUUGUGGGUCCCUCAGGGAAAAAGGCUCAUCGUUCUUCCACUCAUCUCAUCAAAAAGGCAGACAUUGAAACAAAGAUUAUUAGAAGCCAGCCAAUGCAGAUGACACCUAGCUCUGUCACCUUACCACCCGCUAUCACUACAAUCCCACCAUAGAUGUCUAGGUUGAGAUCAACAUCCACAUGGAGGGCAGCUGCCUGAGAGAGAAAAAACAUUCGCUGUUCCUCAGUCCACAAACAGCAAUAAUUAAAAUAAAGUAAUUCCAAUCCUUAAAAUAUUAAGUCCUUGGUACUAAACCAAUGAGCCUCUAAUUAUAGGAAACACUCAAGCUCCAGGAAGAAAAUGAAAACUGUCAUUGUCACACAAAUCCAGCUUCCAACAAAAAUAUCAUUGGUUCAAGACAAAUUAAAAAGUAUAGGCAAAAAUUUAAAGUGGAAGACCGGCAUAUAGCAUAGAACGAAUUUUUUAUCCUGAAUUCAAGGCACGUUUAAUGAUUGACUGCUUUAGGAUCAGAAGUUGGCUAGGAGCAAACUCACUUGAAAAUACUGCACCAAAUAUAUUUGAAUACAAUCAAAUCCUGACCUCAAAAUUAUGCAAAUUUACAUCCACCAGUUUGCCACGUUUACAGAUAGAAUUCUUAAGAUGCAAGAGAAAACUGGGAUAGAGCUGCAGGUGUGAUUACUACAUAACGUUGCUCAGAAUCUGUUCAAUUGACGUAUUUAGAAGAGAAACUAAAAAAGCAGAUAUUAUUUCUUCGUAUAAAACAACAUACUUUAAAGGCACAUGAUAAAAUGCAGACUUGGAAUGAGUUUUGUACUCUAAUUUGAACACCUAGACAGUACCAGGAACACACCUUGCCAUGCCUGCAGAGAUACCAGUUGUACUACAUAAACUUCUGCACUUUUUUUUUUUUUUUUUUGGCUGUUUCUUUUGUAGAUAAAUCCCUCCCUUCUUAAUUGUAUUUCAAAAAAGGCCUAAUAUUUUUCCCAACUGUACUCUCUGAAGCUUAGCAUCAGGCAUCCUAAUAAAAGAACGAUCUUUUCCUCUGGUUCUGAUCAGUUUUGACUUUCAGCUUUCUCCACCUUUCCUUAUUCAGGGCCAAUGUCUUGCUGCUUUCCACUUUUAAACAAACAAACAAAAUGCCCUUCCCCUCCUUCUUCCCUUAUACCCCCCCCCUCUUCUUUAAUGACAUCUUCAGUCAUUAAUGAGUUAAUAAAAAUCUCAAAGUCAUCUGGGAAUAGAUAAGGGGAAAGAAAGAAGAGUAUUGUACACAUAAUGACAGGCUCCCUGCUGGCCCUAAGAUGUCAUGGGUCAGCCAUGUUAAGAAUGUGUGUGCCCAAUCAUCUGCUGAUUUUUAUCAGCAAGGCCUCAAGCAGAAUCUGACACGGCCAGUUUGGGAGUUACAAUGAAUAAACAAUGACUUCUUGGAUUGUUGGCGGCUGUAUGAUAGAGUGAGAGGGUUUAUAUAUACUAAAACAUGAUGACAUUAGCAAUCAAUAUACCAAUUACUGGACAAGUUAUUGGACGAAGAAUGCUCAUGUCUUGAGCUUUGUGCACUUUGAACAUACUACCAGUGACGGAGACCACAGAAAUAAUGGUACUUAACCCUUCCUGAGUGAGACGUGCUAAUUCUUGACAAUGCCUUGAAGUUUGUCUGAGUGCGUGGUAAAAGAAAACCUGGUCUGAUUUAGCAUAUUAAGUCUUUCAGAUAGAAGACAUAAGCCUGACAAAUUUCUUUUUCAUUAGGACUUAAAGGAAGAAAGGAGCAGAUUUUUCAAGUGAGCAUUGGGAUGUUAGAACAGCGGUUUUAACAAAUUUAAAUUGCUCUCCAUAAAAUCUCAGAGGAAAUCAAUUUCUUUUCACCCAAGCACCACUAGCUCGCUACACAAACUUCACUGAGAAGUUAGAACACACCUUUUACAGGACGGUUUAGACAAAUAUCCCAACAGCUCUCACCUGCCUAUUCUGCAGCAGAGAAAGGAAGAUAAAACUAAGAUACUUUUCUUAUUCCUAUGCUACCAGAAACGCAUUCCUGCAUCUGUUCAGUGUCAUCCUCUUGCUUCUCUUAGUUGGCUGAAAAUAUUCAGUGUUUACGAGUUUGUCUUCUAUUAUUCUGGAAGCGAUUGUGAAGAUUCAAUGCCAGUGUUAUAAUUGAAGCCAGAAUCAAACGUAGUAAAGUCAGCCACCUAAUUCAAAGCACAGCUGGAGAAGAUAAUGGAGGUGGACACCAGUGUGGUGGGCAGACCUGCCAUACCUGGGGGCACAGAAGAAGCACUGUCUAGGCUGGAUUACAUGGUGCCACCUCUCCACUGUCCACUAAGAUGGACAACUCCAUGACCUAAUGGAAAGCCUGUGGGUUUUGCCCCGAGAUGACUCAUAAACAUGUGGGAAAGAUUUUAUGAUGGCUCUCUUGCCAAGAUCUGGGAAGCAGAGGUUCCAUACAAACUCUUGACUUUUAUUCAGGUAAGAGCAAACAAGGCAGGGCAUAAAUAUAAGAACUAACUUUGUCUUCUAGGGCAUCAGCCAGCACAGUAGAAAUUGUGCAAAAAAAAAAAAAAUCACCACAUUCUAUGUAGAUCAGGGGGCUGAAUAAAAGCUUAAGAUGCAUCUUUUACAGACCACUCUUGUAACACAUGAGCUCGAGUGUUGCUCUAAAUUACAAUCAACUCUGCUUCUCAGAGCACUAAGCGCUUCCCAGGGUUGUAUUGGACAGUAAUGGCAGGGGGAUCAGUCCCAGACAUUGGGGAAAAAUAGAUGAGACUGCAUCUGGUUUUAACUGCAAUGGUUAUGAAAUGUUCAGCUGUAUCCUCUCAAAUGGCUCUUCCCUUUCCAUUAAGUUCUUGAAAAGUUUGAAAGUGAAUUUGUCCAGCGCGUCUGAUAUGAAUAACAAAAUGCUUUUAAAUGUAAAUGUUUCAUAAAAUAGCACCAUUACCUCGCAUUACAGUGAAUACAGUUGAAAAAACUCAAUCCCUCCUCUGUAAUUUACAAUUAACUUUUUGCCUCAAGGUAACAGCUACGUUCACAAAAAUAAUGGUAAUAGAUUGACCUUGUUAUGAAUGGAUAACAAGCUGGAAACAAUAUAGUUUGUCACAGAGCAUUAACUGUUACUGUUGAAAUUGUAAAUAAUGUGUAUAGAACUCACAAUGUAAAUGGCUUCCCUUAAAAAUAUUAAUUAUGUCGAUUAAACACUUGAUGCAUAAUGGAUUAUUCUGAAACCUAUUUAAGUCCAUGUCAGACUGAAUACACUAUUCUCUAAGAUCCCAUUCCUAGACUGCUGGAAAAUCUACGGCUGUGCUCUGACUGUUCAUGGUGGACAAAUGGCUUACAAUAGAAUAUUGCCUUAAAGAUAUAUGGAUGCUUCUGCUGUUUGGAUUGCUGCAUGCUUUCUUACUGAGUACAACAUCAGAAGAUUAGAUGUCUAGAGACACUGGACUCUUCUGAGAUGCUUUUAGGCUGCUUUGGAAAUUAAUGAGAAGCAACCCUCACCCAACAGUGCUGGACAUUUACUGGAGGAUCUCUAUGGGACACAGAGCACUCCACUGGCUUUUAUGCCUUUUCAUGAUCACUGGUAAUGGGACAGAGGAAUACGAGAAAGUUUUUACACCUGGCUGGUUUCUUACACCAAAGUGGUGUAACUCAUCAAGGGGCUUUGAGGAUUGAUGCUACUCGGCUGAUCUCCUCUUUGUAUGUCCUUUGGAGCCAGGGCUGCAGGCACCUGGGAGGAGAUUGCUAUCACGUGGCUUUAGAAAGCAAUCCAAAACUGGUAUAUAACACAUGGCAUAGAAAAGAUUAGACUUUUCUCUCAAGUGUCUGGGGACUACUAAUUCACAAACAGGAGACUUAACCAUAUUUUUGUGCUUUCCAACCACAGUAAGUGUUCCUCAGCUGUAGCUCAACACUGGACUUAACAGCACAAUACUUCAGUGUUCUGGCUAAUUACCAUGUAUAGACUGUUGCAUUAUAAAGGAGGGAUUCCCGCUAGAUUAUCCACAUAGAGAAAGUGAUAUUAAAACGACAAGCCACCAAGAGGUCAAAUAACCAGUUGCCAGAAGUUAGAAUAACUAGACUGUGAAGCAGCAAUAUCUGGGGAGCUGGCAUGUGUCCCAGGACUGGUUGUCAUACAAAUGAAAGAAAAGACAGCUGGAAUCUUUUUGGAUUGGCUGUUAUUUUCUCUGAAUAUAGUGUAAAUCUAUCACUUCGUUUUUUCAACCAAACGCCUGAACUGGGAGUUGGGAAACUGAUUCAGUAAAAUAUAAAGUCUCUUUAUACAUCA